rnacentral:rRNA from 1 species
AUGAACGCUGGCGGCGUGCCUAAUACAUGCAAGUCGAGCGAACAGACGAGGAGCUUGCUCCUCUGACGUUAGCGGCGGACGGGUGAGUAACACGUGGAUAACCUACCUAUAAGACUGGGAUAACUUCGGGAAACCGGAGCUAAUACCGGAUAAUAUAUUGAACCGCAUGGUUCAAUAGUGAAAGACGGUUUUGCUGUCACUUAUAGAUGGAUCCGCGCCGCAUUAGCUAGUUCGUAAGGUAACGGCUUACCAAGGCAACGAUGCGUAGCCGACCUGAGAGGGUGAUCGGCCACACUGGAACUGAGACACGGUCCAGACUCCUACGGGAGGCAGCAGUAGGGAAUCUUCCGCAAUGGGCGAAAGCUUGACGGAGCAACGCCGCGUGAGUGAUGAAGGUCUUCGGAUCGUAAAACUCUGUUAUUAGGGAAGAACAAAUGUGUAAGUAACUAUGCACGUCUUGACGGUACCUAAUCAGAAAGCCACGGCUAACUACGUG